rnacentral:rRNA from 1 species
UACGAAGGGGGCUAGCGUUGCUCGGAAUCACUGGGCGUAAAGCGCACGUAGGCGGAUGACUAAGUCGGGGGUGAAAUCCUGGAGCUUAACUCCAGAACUGCCUUCGAUACUGGGAAUCUUGAGUCCGGAAGAGGUGAGUGGAACUGCGAGUGUAGAGGUGAAAUUCGUAGAUAUUCGCAAGAACACCAGUGGCGAAGGCGGCUCACUGGUCCGGUACUGACGCUGAGGUGCGAAAGCGUGGGGAGCAAACAGG